GAACAAUGCAAGGUUCAGGUAAUUAGUCUGAAAUAAUACUUUAAUGUUACUGGAAGAUGUUAUUUAAACCUUUAAUUAUACAAAAUCAAAGAAGUUGAAAUAAAAAGUGUGAAAACGCAGCCAUUUACCUAAUAAAAAAAAAAAUCUUGUCUAUAGACAACCAUUGAUUUGUGCUGCAUUCACAACUAAAACAUUUUGGUCUGAAACAGUAUUGAUGAAAAAUAGUUUGAUGUGGAAUUCUUUCUUUCAAUGUUCUCUCACUGUAAAUAACACAUUCCUCUGCUGUAGGCAACAUUUUUGCUCUUCAAGUUUAAAUGGGUGAUGUUUUGUCAUUUGGACCGUCCUAUCAAUGAACAGAUUAUGAGAGCUGCCUGUACUGGUCUUGUAUGUAUUUUUAUAAUUUUAGUAUAUCCCCUGUGAGUCCACAUUUUUCUUUAUUAAACAAGUUCAAGUUUUUUAGCCAUUCUUCAUAAUUAAAAUCAAAAUCUUCAGUUCCCCUAAUUAAUUGUGUAGCCUAUACACAAUUAUACACAAUCUUUUUAGUAUUACACUUAUUUACAUCCUUCUUUACAACACUUUCGCUUUAUUGCACCACGUAUUGAAGGUGCAGGUAUUACCAUUGCUUGAUAAUGAUGCAAUUAGUAUUUUGCCCUGUGAAUGAAUAGUCCUUUUAACCACUAACAUUGCUAGGGGGGUCAGAGGCCCCCUAUGUUAUACUGUGCCCCCCCCCCCAUCCCCAUUUGCCCUCCAGAGAGGGAGAGAAAAUUACGUGAAUCAUGAUAGGAAUCUUGACCAAUAAGCUAAUUCCUGGCACUGGGAGCCCUACAGAUGUGUAAAUGGUUGUGGUGACAGUACAGGCAAUGGGAGCCCUACAGAUGUGUAAGUUCUUGUGGUGGUUAGGAUUAUGGGUAGGAUUAAGGGUACGAGUAGGGUUAGGCAGCCCUACAAAUGUUCUGAAUUGCCAAAGUUCCAAAUUUCAGAAGUGCCAAGCCGAAUUGCUGACGUGCCAAAUUGCAGAAGUGUCAAAUUUUUUUCCUUACCCGAAUUUCCAAACCAAACUUAAUUUUUGGCCCAUGCACAUCCCUAGUUCAGUGCUCAGCCUGGAAAUAUUGAUUGGAUACGUUUCAAGUAAACUGUGCAGGUCCCAAGGUUAUAAAGGGGAAGCAGGAUUGAUUGCAGUGCAACUAGGCGCCCAGGGAUUUAGAAAUCAGUCACAGCUGUACUCUCCUGGAUCCCUUUUUAUUAUGCCAAUACUUAUGGCCCAUUUGCUAACAACAGCACAAUAACUUCUAUAGGGAAAUCAAAUGUACAGGGUUAAUUAGCCCAUAAAUCCCGUCCCAUCAAUCACAGUCAAAAACACACGAUUUACAAAAAUAUAUUUCGUAAGUCUGUGGCAGUGUUUUAUAUUUAGUAUAGGAUUUAUUAUAGGUUCAAUGUGAAACAAGCAGGUAAAAAAUGUGCAUGAGAAACAAGCAUGGCAUUUGGUACAGUGCCAAGUAUAAUUGCAGCUAUUUUUAAAUGACACUCUUUCCUUGAUUAAAAUGUUUCUUCAAUAAAGGAAACAUAAACAUCGGUAUAAAUAACCAAAAUGUAAAAAUAUCAGAGUUGCAAAAGUCCAUUUAUGUUAACCAGACAAAUAAUGGCUGUUAUACUGAGGCCACCAUUUAAGGCAGUACUGACUAAUGUUGGUAUCAUAGAUGUUUGUAAAAUAAAUUCCUGUUUAUCAAGGUUGUCUUAACAGAAUUUUAGGCCCCAGGGCAAAGCGGUGCACUGGGACCCUGCCUGCACAACCACUCACACGAUUAAAAAUGUUAACUAUCGACAAAAUGAAGCUUAAAUGUAUUGGUACCUCCACCAAAAUCAGUGUUUAACAUUUUAAAAACCUGCUGUAUUGCAGAGUUGAAUCCACACAAACAUUUAGUAGGCAGCAGGAAGAGGCAACUGACAUGGAUUGUUAAAAAUAUUAGAAUAACUUUAUUAUAGUUUAACGGCUUCAAAAACUUCUGUGUGUUUAUUUUGUCUUGCUUAUGUACAAUUAGUACAUGUGCGUUGUUUUCGUCAAGGUCAAGAUAUUGGGAAGACUAGAUGGGCUCCUCUCCAGCCAGUUAGUUCUUGAAGAGUGGCCGAGCGCAGCCCAGAUCUUUCCGCCCGCAGAGCCCAGCCUUUUACCCUGGUGUCUGCUGCAGGCUGUGUGGAGGGAGUGGGAAUAUGAAUUACAUCAUAUAACUGCUCCCUGUGUGCCACACAGCGCGGCUGGCACGCAGUGAUGGGGCUGGGCUGCAGGACGAGACUCCACAGAGCCGAACAACAUGCACCCUAGGGACCAGAUGUAAAUAUGUAAUUGUGACUGACUGCUUAUGUAUGUAUGUCUCUGCAUGCAUGCAGGUAUGUAUGUCUCUGCAUGCAUGUAUGUAACUGUAUGUAUGUAUGUAUGUAUGUAUCUAUCUGUAUGCCUGUAUGUAUACCUCUGUAUGCAUGUAUGUAGCUGUAUAUAUGUAUGUUUCUGUAUGUAUGUUUCUGCAUGCAUGUAUGUCUCUGUAUGCCUUUUAGUCUCUGUAUGUAUGUUUCUGUAUGUAUUUGUAUGUAUGUUUCUGUAUGCCUAUAUGUUUCUGUAUGUAUGUUUCUGUAUGCCUGUGUGUCUCUGUAUGUAUGUACAUAUGUAGGUAUGUUUGUGUCUCUGUAUGCCUGUAUGUGUUUGUAUGUAUGUGUCUGUAUGUAUGUUUCUGUGUGUUUGUAUGUCUCUGUAUGCCUGUAUGUAUAUAUGUGCCUGUAUGACGGUAUGCCUCUUUAUGCAUGUAUGUCUCUGUAUGUAUGUAUGUCUCUGUAUGCCUGCAUGUCUCUAUAUGCCUGUAUGUCUCUGUAUGCCUGUAUGUGUGUAUGUCUCUGUAUGUGUGUAUGUCUCUGCCUGUAUGUCUCUGUGUAAUCAUGUCUGUGUUUGUAUGAAACUGUACCUAUAUGACUUUGAUUGUGUGCCUUUUAUGACUGUGUACCUGAAAAAUUAUGCCUGUGUGCCUGUGGCUUGGGAGGAAAGACACACAAAUGGAUCUGGAGGGGAGGGACACACAAAAUGGACUGAGGGGAAAAAGAGCCACACAGAGCGUCUGUGGUGGAGAAGGAGACAUGGAAAGGGGCUGAAGGUAAGAUACACACAAAGGGGCUAGGAGGAUGUAAGAGACAUACAAAGGGGGUUGUAAGACACACUAAAGGGGGAAUAAAACACACUAGAGCAAAAAAGAGGCAAGAAAUUCAAAAAGGGGGGGUUACAAAAAGACACACAGGUGAAGAUGCAUUUAAUUUUUUUUUACAAUGGGGCCGAGGAGGGCGGCAAAAUGCAUUUUCGCCUGUGUAGCUAAAAAUCCUUGCACCAGCAAGAAUGGGUUCAUACUUAUAUAUCUACACAAAGGCUGGAAAUGUUACAUUUUUUAUUUUACUUUAUGAACUAUCAGAUUGCAAGGACAUCGCAAGUUUGAGAUAUUUUGUUCUACAGGAGCAUGUCUCUUAUUUAAACCUAUAUAACGUCUCGGAUAAUGAUUAAGCAUUGCAGUUUUUUAAUAAAGCUACGAUUACAUAUUUAGAAAUAUCAAUGGGAUACAAUGGCAAUUGAUUACUCUAAUGGCAAUUGAUGAAUAUAAUGGUCUACAAAUAAAGUUCUGACAAUUCUAUUAUUAUUAUUAUUUAUAAAGCGCCAACAAGUUCUGUAGCACUGUACAAUGGGUGGAUUAACAGAUACGUAUUUGUAACCAGACGAGUUGGGCACACAGGAAGUGAGGGAUUGAGGGCCCUGCUCAAUGAGCUUACAUGCUAGAGGGAGUGGGGUAAAGUGGCACAAAAGGUAAGGGUAUGGUAGAAAGGUAGGUUGCUAGGAUAGUGUUCAUUGAGGGCUUAGUGUUUUGUUUUGAUGACAGUUUCAGGCUAGGAAUCUGGGUUUUAUCUUUCGCUUUAGAACAACCCCUGUAGUUUUGCUCCUGCUUUAAUAGAGACAGACUAGAGCAGACGGUAUUGUAUAUCUACACUAAAGUUGAAUGAAGGUACCUGUGAGGGCAGAUGAAGAAAUACUUUUGUGUAGCACUGUUUAAGUGUCACACUAGGAAGGCUUAUGAUGAAUCGCGUUAUAUAAGUACAAAUAAAUAAAAACAACACCAUUGUUCCAGAGGAUCAGAAUCAAAACCUUGCUCUCUCGAAUGCUCUCUUUAUUGAAUUAAUAUUAUUUUAUAAGAAAAGGCCAAGGAUUGCAUUAAGCUAUAAAAGAAAAAUCAAAGCGAGUAAAGAAUUCUUAAAGAUUAAAAAAUUCAAAGAUCCUGUUACGGAAAAGAACAUCUACAAAUAGCAAGAGAGUCAACGUGCUACACUUUCAGCCAAAGCUAGAUAGACUGUUCUAUGGCAUUGCGGCAAACUUGCACCAUAAUUCCUAUUUUUCUAACUUGUGUAAUUUUGCUGUAAUGCCACUUAGCAAAGGCUCCAGUCAAAGUGGGAGCACUUCAUAUGAAACCAAAGAAACCUCAGUGCUAUUUGGUCUUCCAUAAUGGUGCCGCGGUUACGAUCUCUGGAAUAGCCUUUUUAUUGGCAGAAGAGCUUUGCCUAAUGACAGCAGACAUUACGUCUUACUAGGCGAGCAGUGCCAGAAGAAUUAACCUUUUCAGUGCCGCACCAGAGAGAUUAAAGGUUAUAUUUAUAUAUAUAUAUAUAUUAUUAUUAUUUUUAAUUAAAUUUUUGUUUUGUGUUAUGAGCUGUCAUAUUGCAAGGACACCCUCUUUAUGAGACGUUCUAUUUUGUACAAAAGCAUCCCCCUCUCAAUUAGCUUGUGUAAGUGGGAUAGGCUACAUAUACAAUAUAACUAAAAUAUGCUUUUAGAAGAAAUGAUGGUACUUUACAUCUUAUAGCAAGCCAAAUCAAUAAAGAUUAUCCUCUCUAAUGCUACAAGGCGGUUUGCCAAGAUAAAAGCUUGAAAUGUCAGGUUUUAUUUUUUUUAAUGUGCUUAGUAAACAUUCUACGCUUUAUAUAUUUUUCUUAUUAUCAUAAUUUUAAUUGUGUUUUCAAUAACUUCUAAGUUGGAAGUACAUACUGUAAAUUUCAAUUAUUAUUUUUUUCCUCCUUGCUUUGAAAAUAAAAGUUAAUUUAGGAUGAAAGACAAGAUGCCAAGGCUGUUGUUUUGCCUCGGGAUAUCUCUGCAUAUUAAAUAGAUUUCUUAUGCAUUAGAUAAAUGUGAAAGAAGGAAGUAUGAAGAUUAUGUAUAACAAAAAUGUAAUGGCAGGGUGGUGGCAUCAAGGGUUGCUUUAGAGGCACAACAGAUGGGGGUGGUAAUUUUACAAAGUUUAACCCAAAAAAUGAAUGAUGAGAUUUUUGCCAUUCUCUUUAUCAAGAUUAUGUCCUGAUCUUACUGCCAUAUCAAAGGUGGUAAACAUGUCUUUACUAGCAAUUAGUCUAAUCUAAAGUGAUGUCCCGAACGGUUCGCCGAACGGUUCGCCAUGAACGGUUUGCCACGGACUCAUCAUUGAGUAAACUUUGACCCUGUACCUCACAGUCAGCAGACACAUUCCAGCCAAUCAGCAGCAGACACUCCCUCCCAGACCCUCCCACCUCCUGGACAGCUCACUAAGAAUGCAGCUUCACAAUGAAUGUAAAAUGGAUGCUGUCCACAGGGUCACUCGUUGGUGAACCGUUCGUGGCGAACCGUUCGCGAACCGUUUGUGGCGAACCGUUCGCGAACCGUUCGCGAACCGUUCGGCGAACCGUUCGGGACAUCACUACUAAUCUAUAAUCCGAAAUAAUGGUGUCAUAUAAUGUAAGUCAACUAUUGAGAGAGUGGCAUCUUGUUUCCUACAUUUGUACAUUUUCUCCAAUUUAAAGUCUAAUAAGAUAAUUAAUUCAUAGUCUUUAUAGGACUAAGGAUGGACUUUUUCAUCAAUUAGUGAAUCUAUAGAGAAAUCUGAAAAGUUGGAUACGGAAAUAUUCUACUAUGUAUUUUUCAUGUCAGAAAUAAUCGACUAAUAAAAAAAACUCCCAUGAUAUUUCUCAGCAGAGUGUUUUCUUAAUAUGGUGACACACUGCCAAGAGUUUGAACCUACAAAAAUGAAUAUAAUUCAUUUUGAUUAUGUGUUCUGAGAACAUUUCCUAGCACAACAUAGAGAUUACAUUUUAUUUUCUAUAAAUUGGGAUUUUGCUUGACAGGUGCACUUUAAGGGACUUUAAAGGAGCACUAUAGGGUCAGGAACACAAACAUAUAUUUCUGACCCUAUAGUGUUAAAACCACCAUCUAGCCCCCCGGUCCCCUCUUGUCACCCUAAAUAUAGUAAAAAAAUUACUUGUUUUCAAGUCUGCAGCUGCUACCUUUGCCCCUGUUUGCCUGUGAACUGCCUCUGUCUGCUGACCUCAUCAGAAGUGGUGAUCUGAGCCAAUCACAAUGCUUCCCCAUAGGAUUGGCUGAGACUAUCAAGGAGGCAGAUCAGGGGCAGAGCCAACACAAGUCAAACACAGCCCUGGCCAAUCAGCAUCUCCUCAUCAAGGAGCAUCUUUAUGAGGAAAGUUCAGUGUCUGCAUGCAGAGGGUGGAGACACUGAAUGGCAGUGCUGCUUACUCUGCACCACAACCCCAGGAACCACCUCUUGCAGCCAUCUGAGGAGUGACCAGUGGAGUUAUGAUAUCCCUAGGAUAUAAUGUAAACAUUGCAUUUUCUCUGAAAAGACAGUGUUUACAGCAAAAAAGCCUGAAGGUAAUGAUUCUACUCACCAGAACAAAUGCAAUAAGCUGUAGUUGUUCUGGUGACUAUAGUGUCCCUUUAAGGAACUGGAAGCGCCACAAAGUAGACUUUUAAGGCAAAUAUUGUCUAAAAUGAAAAAAAAUAGCUAAAUUGAAUGAAGCAUGUUUCAAUUUUCUCAUGUUGUCAUAAAAUGUGCGAUUCCCUGUGGGUUUCUCUAAUCAUGGAAAUCAGAAUUCCUUUUGGAUCAACCACAGAAACAGAUUUAUGGACCGUUGAACUUGAUGGACUUUAAAUUUAGGGCAAAAAUAGCUGAACUGGUAGUAUAAUUUGUGUGGACAAUUUUUAAGCUGUACAGAGGAUUCUAAAGCUAGUGGAGUCACAUGUGAUUUUUGUGCCUGUGUGUACCUAAUACAAGGAAAGAGGUCGUCUAUUAAAAGGGUCAGUACAAUUCUUUCUCUCCAGCUCCACUGUUAAUAUAUUACUGCUAAGAGAGCCAUUAAAGGGACAUCUCAUUGAAGUGGUCUGGGUGCAGUGUCGCUGUUCCUUUAACCUUGCAAUGUAAAACAUUCCAGUUUCUGAGAAACUGCAAUAAUUACAUUGCAGGUUAACUCCACCUCAAGUGGCUAUAUUCCAGACAGCCACUAAAGGGGCUUCCUGGUGCUUUAUAGUGUUUAUCUCAAUGAAACAUGAGGAUGUCCAGCUUCUUGAACAUCCCCAUAAGAAAGCAUUGAUUCAAUAAUUUCCCAUGGGGAAGCUCUAAUGCACGUUACCCCAUUGCUGUGAUGUUGGAGGAGACAGAGCCAGCACUGAGGGACCUCGGCACUGGAAAGAGGUAAGUGAAAUAAAGGUUUCUUAGUGUUAGAGAUACAGUUUUGUUGGGAAGUACCAAAUAUUUAUUCCUAAACGUUCCUGCAAGGGUUACAUUCUGGUGUAAUACAUAUAUGGCAUAGUGAGUGCACCUUCAUUAUUAUCAUCAGUGGUUGUGACAAACUCCCCUUUUUCUGUGAGUUUGCAACGAGUUUUUGGAGGGGCCUGUUUGCCAGCCUCCUACCCUGGGACUAUGGCCCCUGUGUGAAAUCCUGGUUAGAACCACUGUGUGUGCCCUUUUUAAGCUUGUAUGGCCACACUUCAAACUUUCGAAGUGGCACUUCGAACUCCCAAACUUCCAAAGCCAUCCGAAGUGCCAUUCGAACACAUGGCGGCGGCCAUCUUGUUUAGUCGAACGCAUCCAGCGGUGUUUGGUCAUUGAGUGCAUGGAACUCAAAUCAGACAGCCAAUGGCAUGAACACGGCUAAACUUUUACCUUCCAUGGAGGUUCAGCUAUUCGAACGGGAGUCAAAAGAUGUUCGGUAAAAAGAAACAUAAUGGCAUUGUCCCCGAAUUGCUAUGUUCGGUAAUUCAACUGUUUAGGGCAUGAAACCAUGCGUGCAGUUGGUCAAAAAGAGACUUCCAGGAAUUUCCUGAACCCCUGCUCUAAUCUGGGUUAUUUUUGGAUAUGUUGUUCACCCAGAUCAGGGCUAUCAGGGGGUGUGUUGUGUUUUGGGGUACUUAUGAGAAUUUGUAAAAUAUGUGGUUUUUCUGCCUGGAGAUAAUUGAGUUACAUACUGUACUUUAUUCAAUUAUCUCCCAUGCAGAGGGGAGGGAUUGUGUGCUGUGUGUGGGAGUGUCAGUCACAUUUAAUUACUGUUCUGAUUGGUUUGUAAGCUUUGUGUCCCUGUCCCCUACAAGGUCCAUGUGGGUGUAUACCUUGCUUGGGCCAGCUGUGGCUUCCAUUAAACACACUCGUUUUACCCUUCAUGAAGUCUAGGCUCAUGUUUGGGGGAUUGGAGAACUACAUUCACUCUGGGGAUUGCUAUAAUCACUCUACUCCCCUGAGUAUAAUCAAUAAGCUCUAGUAAGAGCUGUUCCUGCUAUGCUCUCUGGACUAGGAAAGGUCUACCUACUGGAAGCUGGAUCCUGGUCUUGGGUCGACGGCGAGACCCCAACCAAGCUGCAGCAGUUCGUGGGGUUUAUGGUGCUUAUGGUGUUCCAGUGCAGUGCUUAUGGUACUCACAAGUACUAGGAAGCAGCAGUUGAUGGAGGUACCCAGUCGGAGUGCCAAGUGGACCGUCACAGUGGUCAAACUUUUCUUUUUUUAAAACCUGCAAAGCUAUAUAUUUGUGAGCCAUUUGCAAGUUAAAACAGGAUUAGAGGAAUUAAGUCACUAAACUGAGAAUUAUGGAGAAAUGACAAUGGAAUUGCAAAUUUUAGGUCAAAAUAGCCAAAUCGGAUAAAUUUUUCAAUUCGCUGCUUUUCCACAGUUAAUAAUUUGGUCUAGAAUGGUUCUAUAGCCAUUUUACCACAACUUCUGUCUGAGUAAACAACUUUGAUUGAUCAAUCACAUUAACAAGUUUUGGCCUGAACUUUAUUCACUAAAUACAACAAAUUUCAGUCGUGCUAAAUCCCGAUGGACGAAUGAAAACAAGUAGAUAUAAAAAGAAAAUAAAAGAAACAAAAUGUAAAAAACGCUACCUUAUCUCUGAAAGGAAAUCACCCUUUACUAGUAUUUAACUGUAAAGGUUUUGAUAUUUAUAUGUUUACUAAGAGUAAUUAAGAAGACUUUGUCAUAAUAACAUCUUUAUAUAAGAUCAUUAUUUUUUGUGUGUAUAAAGCACCACCUGCAGAGCACACUAGGAAACUGCAACACGUAUAAAUGCUGUCCUUGUUAAACAUACAAUACAAAAAUAAAGAUGGUUAUUUGCAAAUACUGAGGUAAAAGAAGGUGGCACUUUGGAUAAACAUAAGCCUUUGGAAUGGUAUUGCUGACGCAUUUAAUAAGUGAUUAGCGUCACAGGAGCUGUCUGCACAAAAAGGUUGCUGUUAAAAUGUCAAAUUCAAAAUGUCUAGAUCAUUUUUAUUGAAAUUUUGUUUUUCAGUUGAUCCUAAUUUGGUAUUAGUGAAUGACCCCAGCUUUGGUGACACAUACAUAUAUACUGUAUUGGGUUUGUCUGAUAUCUAACAAUGGAAGCCUGAGGUUGUCAGUUUAUUUAAUUUAUUGUGAGCUGUAUCAAAUACCCUUACCAAAUGUAGGUAACGAUAUCUAGUGUGUUCACCCUGUUUAUUCACCAAACUGGGAAUUGUUGAGAAAUGACAAAAACAUUGCAAAUAUUACUCCAAAUCAGCUGAUAACAGUUUAACCGCAAAGAAAAAUACGGCAAUAAACCCCUCUUAACUUCACCUAUUCUCCUGCAUUCCUUCAAAACUUACAGGUAAAAACAUGUGACAGCAAGAACAAUGGUUAAUCUGUCCACUUGCAGAAGGACUCUAAAUGUGGACAGUAUGUCACCCAUGUUUCCCUAUGAGAUGCCACACAUCAAAAUGUCAAGAACUUGCAAGAGCUUAUGUCCAAAGCAGAGAAGUGUCUGUAUCAAAAACACUCUGGUCAUCCAAGGCUCCAUGGGGAAAUUAAAAAAGGCAAUAAUUGUGCUCUCAAUUAUGAUAAAAACAUGUAAAAGUAAAUAAAAUAAUACUUACAAGCUUAGAGCAGAAGCACUGCUCUAUUAAUAGAAUCUUUAAAUACAGGAACAAUAAAAAGCCAGGAAGAGUAAGAAUACUAAAAGUGCAUAAAAAUACAAUCAAAAGAGGCUUGGCACAGCAAAGUUACCAAAAAACAUUUAAUGAUCUAAAAUACACAAUAUAAAAAAAUAUAGAAACUACGCGUUUCACCAAUAUAGGCUUUCUCAAAUGGUAUAAAAAAAAAAACAUACAACCUGGCUAGUAGGGGGGAAAAUAGUUUAAAAUUGGCACCAAAACUACAUCAUAGGCUGUCCUCCAAUCAGCAUACAUCAUUAUUGUAUAAAUUAUAAAUAAGGCAAACAGUGGUACAUACUAAUAGAUAUUAGUAGUGAGUAGUUUCGGCUAUUUGAAGCCGGAGCACGUGACGCACGUAACAUGCACAGCUUUAUUUACCAGCCGCUAGGUGUAAUGGGAAAUGUAGUUCCCAGUGAAGUAAUUACGAGGUCAGCAAAAAAAUCGUCAUUUGCCGACCUCGAAAUUAAGUAAGAUAGGGAAGAUGGAAUGCAGGUGGUAGGCAAGCGAAAAACAACAGUUUGAUAGGGGAAAAAAAAGAAGUAAUAAUGUAAAAUAAAAUAAAUCACGGCGGCCAUCUUGGUUGGGGAAAAUAAUAUUGACAAAUACCAUAUACAUGGGGAGUAAACUUAGUGGCCAUGUUUGGGGGGGAACAUCCCUAAUGUUUGUUAAAAAUUGCUGUACAUAAUAAUGAGUAAUGUAAACUAAAAGUAAUAAUAAUGAAUAAGGUAAAAAUAGCUGAAUAAGUUAUUAGGUAAAUAACAAAGAGGACAUUUAAAAGGUUUUGUAUAAGAUUAAACAAUUAAAAGUGUCAUAAGAACUGAGAGGAAGUGGUUAUAGUAGGGGUGUUCUUAAUCAUAAUGCCGCAGGUAAAACAACUAUGUAUUAGAACAGCCCUAAGAUAACAACAAAAUAUUCUCAAGGAAGUGCUGAUAAAAGUGGUGCUUCAACUAAAAACAUGAAAUAUUAUUAAAAUCUUAGUAAUAAAGCAUGACAAUAGAUACUCUGACCAACAUGGGUAGGUAAUGCAUGGGUAUUAUAUAAAAGAUGAUAUAUACAUAUAACGUAGUACACAUAAUUAAAUAAAAUUAAACAGAUGGAAAUCCACAUUCAGACCAGAGGGGGUUAAUAUUUUUAAAUUAAAUACCCAUUCCAUUUCAACCUUGCCUAGAAUGUUCUUGAUAUUUUCACCUCUCCAUGGAAUCACACAUUUUUUGAUACCUAUGCAUUUAAGUCGUUUUGUGUCAUUAUUAUGAAUGCAAAAAUGUUUGGAGACUGAUUGAUUUAAAUAUCAGUUUUUAAUGUUUCUACAAUGUUCACUCAGUCUAGUUUUGAGGUUUCUUGUGGUCAUACCUACAUACUGGAGGCCACACGGGCACUCCAGUAAGUAGAUUAAAUUUUUAGUGUCGCAGCUGAUAAAAUCCUUAAUUUUAUAAGUUUUAUUAGUUAUAUUUGAUUUAAAUAGAGUGUUUUUGAUGGAACAGAGGGGGCUGUGUUUUUGCAAACAAUACAUCGCUUACAUUUGUAAAAUCCACUGGCAUUGGAAAUAAAAGAGGUGGUGUUAAGUUUAGUCUCUUUAGUAAAAUUGGUGGUUAAAAUAGGCCUAAAACUAGGAGCACCUCUAAAAACAAUCUUCGGUCUAUCCGGUAUAAUGUUUUUUAGUACUUCAUCGUGUUUUAGUAAAUGCAUAUGCUUUUUAAUUAUUUUCUUUAUAUGACCACUUUUGUUGUUAAAAUUAAAAAUUACCGGAAGGGGCAUGGCAUUAGUGGUUGGUUUGUUUUUGUAUGUCAGGAGAUCUGUUCUUUCUUUCUUCCUAAUACCAUUUAUGGUGGUGUUGAGAUGGGUUGGUGAAUAGUUUUUUUCAAUAAAUUAAUCUCUUAAAAAAUUUGCUUGUGUAUUAAAAUCUUCUAAUUGAGAACAAUUCCUAUGGAGACAUAGAAAUUGGCUUUGUGGGGCACUUUCUAAUCAGGGCUUAUAAUGACAACUCGAUUGCUCAAUGUGCUAUAGACAGAUGCCUAUUCUUGUAUUCUUCUCCUACUGUUCUCGGCAAAACUGGCUGUGUUGAAAAACCGAGGAAGAAGACAAUGUCUGCUCACAGUCCAAAAGCAGACAAUGUAACAAUCUAUGCACCUGUACAACAAGUUCAACCCAAGAAUUAAUUAGACCAUGCCAAAAUUGGAUAAAUUGUAUCUUGUGAGCCUGAUUGUUUUCUUCCUAGAGUUACUGCUUCAUAUUUUCUCCUGCUGCAACAAUAUUUGAAAAUACAGCGAUUUUACUAAUAAAAUUUCAUAUAAUGUGAUUGUGCUGUUUAUACUAUGUGGUUGUUAUUUAUUGUUUCUCUUCCUUUAGUAAUUAUUUAUUGUCAUUUUAUGAAUUCAUGUUGUUUGUGGGUGUUUCUUCGCAUUUUUCCUUUAAAGGGACACCAUAGGCUCUAUAACUUCUUCAACUGAUUAAAGGUAUUAUGGUGCCUGAAGACCACAUGGGCCGAGUCCAACAUUAAUCUUAAACUGAUGCCAACAGAUAUACUCUGUCUCUGGCAGCCUACAGCUCCCCAAGAUGAUCUUGUGAAGGAAGAGUGAUGUUGUGCCUCACAUCAAUUCAUACCAGGGAAUGCUGAAAAAGAUAUAUAAUAAAAGUAAUUAGUUAAUGCCCUUAGCCUAUCAUUGCCUAAUUCCCCUGGAAUGGUGUAU